AUGGAACGCAUGGCGACUUCCUACUUUAAGGAAGUAUAUACGAAAGAUCCGACCUUGACUCCGGAGGUUGUGCUGGAGAGCAUUAUACCAAAAGUUACGCAAGAAAUGAAUGAUGCUUUAUGUGCCCCGUUCUCGGAGGAGGAGGUGUCGAAUGCCCUGUUCCAAAUAGGGCCCUUGAAAGCACCUGGAACGGAUGGACUACCUGCAAGGUUUUUCCAACGCAAUUGGGCGAUUGUGAAGUCUGGAAUUGUGGCGGCCGUCUUGGAUUUUUUCAAGACAGGAACGAUGCCGGAGGGUGUAAAUGCUACGGCGAUUGUUCUUAUUCCAAAAGUUCCCCAUCCAAAGGAACUAAAGGAUUUUGGACCGAUAAGUUUAUGUAAUGUGGUUUAUAAAAUAGUGUCUAAGUGCUUGGUGAAUCGCCUUCGCCCUUUGCUUUCCGAGCUGAUCUCGAAAAACAAAAGUGCGUUUAUACCGGGUCGGCUUAUUUCGGAUAACUCUAUAAUUGCUUUUGAGUGUAUCCACCACAUACAGUCUCUGAAGCCAAAUAGUGGAGCAGCUUGUGCAUAUAAAUUGGACCUGUCAAAAGCAUAUGAUCGGGUUGAUUGGGAUUUUCUGGAGCAGGCAUUAACAAAGUGGGGCGUCUCGGUUCAGUGGCUAACUUGGAUUAUGGCUUGCGUUAAGUCAGUUACAUACUCUGUAAAAUUCAAUGGGAAACUUCUGGAGGUCUUUGCCCCGUCUAGGGGUCUCCGGCAAGGUGAUCCUUUGUCCCCGUUCUUAUUCCUUUUUGUUGCUGAUGCCCUCUCUGCUAUCAUCUCUAAAUCAGUUGAGGAAGGGGAAUUGAGGGGAGUUUCUAUAUGCCGUGGGGCACCGGUGAUUUCUCAUCUGCUGUUUGCGGAUGAUACGAUGCUAUUAUUUGAAGCUUCAAGCCAGCAAGCAGACAUUGUCAAAGGUUUGUCGAACACUUAUACUAGAGCUACGGGUCAACUCAUCAACCCUGAAAAGUGUUCCAUCCUCAUAUCCUGA
rnacentral:rRNA from 1 species